rnacentral:lncRNA from 1 species
AACUCAGUCAACUAUCCUAAUUCUGGCUUUGAAAAUGAAAAAGUACUCCUAAGUUAUUUAUAAUUUAUGAAGAUUUUUAAAAAGCCAUGCCCAGAACUAUAGUUUUACUUUUGAAUAUUUAUUUAAAGUAUGCAUUUAUAUAUUAUUAAAAUCAUUUUCUCUAUGUUUUCUUUCCAUAAAAUUAAAGUGCUAAACUUUUGUUAGGAUAAAGUUAAAACUACAAUUAUAUAAUUUAGGAGAAAAAAACUUUUAAGAGUAUUAGCUUUUUUUUUUUCUUCAGCCAAUCAAAUAUCUAUGGCAGUGCAUAAUGGAAACAUUCAAUACGUAAUGUGCAGUGUGGUUGCAAAUUAAACAAUUUUAUAUUCUGAAGCUGGGGAGACCGAGAAGAAACCUGGAGGCAAACCAAUUUGGCAAAGCCAUUAGGCAAACCAGGAUGAAUUGAGUUAGAAGACAGCCCCAUGUUUUCACUCUGACAUUAGGUUUAAUACAUUUACCUACAAAGUAAUCCUGGAAGUGAAGAGAGAGAGGCAGCUGCAUUAUUCUCAAGUCCAUUAAAUGGAAGGAAAAAGAACCAAAUCAGACACUUGCUUUUUCUUUUUGCUACCACUUAGCAAGCUGAACAUCAUCAAAGAAAUUUAAAACCUUCCUCCAAGAUUGGAUGUCUCUGUCACCGCCACCCAGCAGAUGCAGGCAGUGACAAUGGGAAUGGCACAAAGUGAGAAUCACAGUAUAAGAAAGGCGCUAUAAUACUUCAGGGAAAUCUUUGGUAGAGGGGCUAGGGAGAUGACUCAACAAGUAAGGAGCUUGCUCUGCAAUCCUGAGGAUGUGAGUUCAGAGCCACAGCACAGCUAUGUGGCAGCAGUGCCUGACAUCCUAGCACUGUGUGUUGGGCUAGGUGUGGGUAGAGACAAGCAGAUCCUGAGGGCUCACUGGCCAGCCUGGAUGAAACGGAGAAUUUCAAGUUUCCUGUGAGAGACACCCUGGCUUUUACACAUGCUCACAAGGGUAAGCACAAACAUAAUUGUGCACACAUCCACACACACACACACCAUUGCAGAAAAUACAUAAAUGUAUACUUAACACUGCUAACAUUUGCACAGAGAACAGAGUAUCAUGAGAACAAACUGGAGUGUGAGCUAAAUGAUGACCUGACUCUUUAGGAUAAUGCAGUCUUUUAUCAUCAUUAACUUUACAUAAGGUCUUCUCCCAGGACAUUUGCAGGAAUGGGUGUAUAAACCCAUAGACUCAUUCCACAUUUCUAGAUUAGACACAGACACAGAUCAUGCAAGACCCAAAGGAACAGCAUUGGCAUCUCUGGUUCUCUGGGUUUAUAUGAAAUAGAUACGUCUGUGGUUUAGCAAACACACUUUUAAACCUGUAUUACUUGCCUUGGUUCUGACCACGUUUCCUAGUUCUAUGAUAAAAGUAAAAUCCCUGAAAAAGGCUUCUCUGCCUCUCAGCAUUCCCAGUACCUAACACUGUGCUUUACAGCUGUGUGCUUGAUUAAAUUCUAGACUGAAAAUCCCACAGGUGAAGGGAACUAAAAUCAAAGUUGAUCAACGACAGAUUAGGCAGGAGCCAGUUAUAUACUGAAAUCCCACCCCAGUGUUGUUGAUAUUUAUUUUAUCGAUGUACUUACAUUAGCUUACAGGGAGAACACAUAUGUCUCAAAGCUGGUUCACUAGUUCUAAUAAGAGCAUUACAAUUAAAACACAAUUUGUAUUCAUUUGUAUAUAGUACCUAGUUGCUCAGAAAGUGAGGACUGCUUUAACAUUUUCUAAACACAUCACCCUGCUUUAAAUUGUAAACCUUAUCCCAAAGGUUGAUGGCAAUUCCGGUGCAGCUUCAUCUCUGCAUCGAGGGGAGGGACCCCGACUCACCUCUAACGUGAACGACAACACCACAUCCGACUUGGACAGCUGGAUCUCGUUCUCAUCUCCCAGGUCCAGAAACGCAGAGUUCUGCGAACGCUUUAAUUUUUGUAAUUUAAAUUCCGGGCCACCUUUUGAAACUGGAAGACUUUCUAAAUUGGCCAUUAGCAGGUUCACGGAGGCUCGCAGCUCUUCAAUGUACAUACUCUCCAUUUCUUUCGAGAUGAAUCUGGGGAAUCUUCUCUCCUUAAAAAGAAUUCGAAGCAUAAUGUUAGGCUGGGCCCAUUAUAGUUCUAUCAGAAAAGAUUACACGGCACAGAACUAUGGUACUUAUCACACAACGCAUCUGCCAACGUCAGUUUGGGGGCUUUAAAAGCCCGAGGUUUUGGCAGUCUUGACUGUACCUAAAGGUACAUUUUAUAUCUUCUAUGAAGAACUAUUGUGUUAUGAAAUGAUCACUGUAUGUAUACUUUUCAAUGGAGCAUUAUAAGAUGUGCAUAAGUAAAAACAGGUAUGG